rnacentral:lncRNA from 1 species
CCCGGGCUGCCCGGGGGCGUCCGGCGCUCCCCGAGGGCGGGCGUGUCCCCGCGGCGCCGGGCGGGGCACGGGCGCGGGGCCUCAGCCUGUUGGAGCGCCGGGGGCGCCGGACUCGGGGGCUUCGGGAGCCCUGCAGGGGCCGGGCCGCCCGAGUCCCACGCAGAGCAGUGUUUUCCAACUCUCCGCCUGUGUCUAAUCGGGCCCACCACCACCCGGAGACACCCCGUCCAGAUCUGCCGAGAAUCCACAGGUUGCAAAGUACGUUCCCAAGAAAACAAGGCAUCUGUGUAUAAGGAUACUAGCUCACCUAUUUUCAGGUCUCAUGAGGAACUGGUUUGGUGGUUUUUUGAGGAAAGGCAGCCUGUAGCCAUUAAUGGUAAGACUGAUUAUAUUUUUUCAUUCCUUGACAAUGAUCAGCUAGAGCAACAUUAAAAAGUUGGAAUUCAGUACGAAUGGUGGCAUUUCUAGUUGCAGGGGUCUGAUUAUAAAUGAUCCAUAAAGAGACAAUCUCUGCAUAUCCAAGAGGCAAGACCACAAGGUCAUAUAAUGUUAAAAAAAAAGGAAGUGUUAGUCAUGUCUGACUCUUUGAGACCCCAUGGACUGUAGCCCACCAGGCUCCUCUGUCCAUGGAAUUCUCCAGGCAGCAGUACUGGAGUGGGUAGCCAUUUCCUUCUCCAGGGGAUCUUUUCAAGCUAGGGAUAGAAAUCAUGUCUCCUGCAUUGCAGGCAGAUUCUCUACCAUCUGAGUCACCAGGGAAGCUCAUAUAAACUAAGGGUAGUAAUUGAAGCCAUAGGCAUUCAGUGGCAUCUGGUUGGUUAGCUGAAAAUUUUAGGCUUAGUGUUUAUUUUUUUUCCCUAUUUUUCAAGAGUAUUGGAAAUGACAAGAAAAUGAAGUUUCCGAGUAAGUGACAAAUCUUUGUAUAGUUUACAAACAGCUGGGCCAGUAAAAUAUGUUCCUCUAUUGCUGGAUAUGGAGAAGGCAAUGGCAACCCAUUCCAGUACUCUUGCCUGGAAAAUCCCAUGGACAGAGGAGCCUGGUAGGCUGCAGUCCAUGGGGUCGCUAGGAAUCGGACACGACUGAGCGACUUCACUUUCACUUUUCAAUUUCAUGCAUUGGAGAAGGAAAUGGCAACCCACUCCAGUGUUCUUGCCUGGAGAAUCCCAGGGACGGGGGAGCCUGGUGGGCUGCUGUCUCUGGAGUCGCACAGAGUUGGACACGACUGAAGUGACUUAGCAGCAGCAGCAUAGCUGGAUAGAUAAUUCUGAAUGUCUGAGCAGGAAACACAGUAUCUAUAUUUGUUUUAGCCACUAUGAGGUUGUAGUUCUAUAGGAAAUUGGUGCAACAUGUUCAGAUAAUAAACUACUAUUAGGAUAUUGCCAUAUCCAUAGCAGAAGGAAAUGAUACAAAAUCUCUUUGAAGAGCUGAAAAGAUCUUUUAGAACAAAGUUCCAGUUCAG